UCCCCCUAGAGUUCUUUUUUUUUUAUUUGCAGUAAACUCAAAUGCGCACCAACUAUUACAGAUUAGGUCGCGCUCCGAAAGCGCGGCGUAGGCUAAUUAGACAUUUGGUGUCGAACCUUAUCAUGCACGAACGGAUAGUUACAACUUGGAGGAGAGCGCAAGUUACUCAUAAAAUAGCUGAUAAAAUUAUUCAUCUUGGUACUAAAAAAACACCGGCGGCACUUGACCAGAUUAAAAAGUUUUUAUAUACUCAGGAACAAACUGACAAACUUUUGUACAUUUUAGUUCCAAGGCUAGAGGGAAAACACUCCGGUAGUUUUACCCGCUGUUUAAAACUUCACCCAAGAAAAUACGAUAGCUCUAAAAUGGGCGUAGUAGAAAUUUUAAGAAAUGAGUUUCCUGCUUUAAGGCCUUUAAAGGAGGUGAGAAAACCAUAUAAAUACGACGAAGCAAAACGGCUGAUAAUAGAAGAAAUUAAGGCAAAAGUCCUCGCUAAGACAAACAAGUCGAUUUGAAGUUUGAAGUAGAUGAUUCUUUUAAG